AGUGAACGCUGGCGGUAGGCCUAACACAUGCAAGUCGAACGGCAGCACAGUAAGAGCUUGCUCUUACGGGUGGCGAGUGGCGGACGGGUGAGGAAUACAUCGGAAUCUACUUUUUCGUGGGGGAUAACGUAGGGAAACUUACGCUAAUACCGCAUACGACCUACGGGUGAAAGCAGGGGAUCUUCGGACCUUGCGCGAUUGAAUGAGCCGAUGUCGGAUUAGCUAGUUGGCGGGGUAAAGGCCCACCAAGACGACGAUCCGUAGCUGGUCUGAGAGGAUGAUCAGCCACACUGGAACUGAGACACGGUCCAGACUCCUACGGGAGGCAGCAGUGGGGAAUAUUGGACAAUGGGCGCAAGCCUGAUCCAGCCAUACCGCGUGGGUGAAGAAGGCCUUCGGGUUGUAAAGCCCUUUUGUUGGGAAAGAAAAGCAGCAGGUUAAUACCCCGCUGUUCUGACGGUACCCAAAGAAUAAGCACCGGCUAGCUUCGUG
rnacentral:rRNA from 1 species